rnacentral:rRNA from 1 species
UACGUAGGGUGCAAGCGUUAAUCGGAAUUACUGGGCGUAAAGCGUGUCGCAGGCGGUCCGUUAAGACAGAUGUGAAAUCCCCGGGCUUAACCUGGGAACUGCAUUUGUGACUGGCGGACUCGAGUAUGGCAGAGGGGGGUAGAAUUCCACGUGUAGCAGUGAAAUGCGUAGAGAUGUGGAGGAAUACCGAUGGCGAAGGCAGCCCCCUGGGUCAAGAUU